GUCAAUUAAGCUCUAAUUUCAUUGAAAGUCAAACUUGGGUGAAAAUUGCAACAAAAAUAUAAAGGGUUAAUAGCCGAAAAACACACGAACUAUUUCCGGAUUUGCAUUUUGCACAUCACCUUUAAAAAUAACUCCAGAAUACACCACCUUUUAAUUUAGUUGCAAUUUACACACGGCGAAAGUUUCGACAGCUCUUAAGUUUGACCGGCGAUGACGUGCACAGUAUUUAACAUUACAUGACAUUAUUCGUGGCCUUUUUUACACGCUGGCAAGCCAUGUGGGCAAAACAACGUCGUUUUGCCCAGAAAUUAAAUUUUCUAAAAAAACACAAAAAAAAACAAAUGCCUCCCUGGCCGUCUCCCUCCUUCCUAAGCCCUAGAUCUACCGGCGACGACGAAAAGUACCGCCGGCACCUCCUUCUAUCCACCGGCGACCGCAGCGAGCCAGUCGCUGCCUGCUUCUCCGGCGAUGAACACCUCUCCGACAUCAACACGACAGCUCAACUGCCACCUCCACCACCCAGAUCUGGAACCGCUGCCUCCC
rnacentral:lncRNA from 1 species